GAUCAUGGCUCAGGAUGAACGCUAGCGACAGGCCUAACACAUGCAAGUCGAGGGGCAGCGGGGAGGUGGCAAUACCUUUGCCGGCGACCGGCGCACGGGUGAGUAACACGUAUGCAAUCCACCUGUAACAGGGGGAUAACCCGGAGAAAUCCGGACUAAUACCCCAUAAUAUGGGCGCUCCGCAUGGAGAGCCCAUUAAAGAGAGCAAUUUUGGUUACAGACGAGCAUGCGCUCCAUUAGCCAGUUGGCGGGGUAACGGCCCACCAAACCGACGAUGGAUAGGGGUUCUGAGAGGAAGGUCCCCCACAUUGGUACUGAGACACGGACCAAACUCCUACGGGAGGCAGCAGUGAGGAAUAUUGGUCAAUGGACGAGAGUCUGAACCAGCCAAGUAGCGUGCAGGAUGACGGCCCUAUGGGUUGUAAACUGCUUUUAUAAGGGAAUAAAGUGGGAGUCGUGACUCUUUUUGCAUGUACCUUAUGAAUAAGGACCGGCUAAUUCCGUG
rnacentral:rRNA from 1 species